GAUGAACGCUGGCGGCGUGCCUAACACAUGCAAGUCGAGCGAAGCGCUUAAAUUAGAUUUCUUCGGAAUGACGAUUUUUGUGACUGAGCGGCGGACGGGUGAGUAACGCGUGGGUAACCUGCCUCAUACAGGGGGAUAACAGUUAGAAAUGACUGCUAAUACCGCAUAAGACCCCAGCUUCGCAUGAAGCGGUGGUAAAAACUCCGGUGGUAUGAGAUGGACCCGCGUCUGAUUAGCUAGUUGGUAAGGUAACGGCUUACCAAGGCGACGAUCAGUAGCCGACCUGAGAGGGUGACCGGCCACAUUGGGACUGAGACACGGCCCAGACUCCUACGGGAGGCGGCAGUGGGGAAUAUUGCACAAUGGGGGAAACCCUGAUGCAGCGACGCCGCGUGAAGGAUGAAGUAUUUCGGUAUGUAAACUUCUAUCAGCAGGGAAGAAAGUGACGGUACCUGACUAAGAAGCCCCGGCUAACUACGUG
rnacentral:rRNA from 1 species